rnacentral:lncRNA from 1 species
CAUAUAAAGGUUGUCAUUCAACAUAAGUGAACCAGUUCCAAUAACAUUUGAAUUUAAAGACAAUUGAACCGAAUUGUUUCCAAAUGAACAACAAUAACCAAAUUUGUCCAAAUAUGAAACAUAAAUUAAAUUUCGUCUAAAAGACGGUACAACAAAAGUGUCUUUCAAAUCCAAAUAGAAACCAGUACAUAAUAACAACCUAAAAUGUCCUAUAGCUUCCACUUCUACCGAUUUCCCAUCGCCAACAUAUAUGUAUCUUUCAACAUGAUUAGGCUUUCGGUAGCUCAGGCAACCCUGCAUUGAAACACUGAUGUUAGAAGUUGAACCGGAGUCUAACCACCAGGUGUUUCUAGGUACUGAAGUUAAAUUGACCUCA